rnacentral:ncRNA from 1 species
AAUAUUAGAUCAUAAGCCCUGAUGACUUUGGCUCUGUGUAACAGAACCUAGCUUCAGCUGAAAUGCUGCGGGAGAGACUGAAAUCGGAGCUCAGGCAGGUCAUUGA